AUGCACAGAAUUGUAAUUAAAAACUUUAUCCAUAAAGUUUGGGUUUGCAUUUCUUAUUUUAUUAGUCUAUCUAUCUAUCUAUCUAUCUAUCUAUCGAUCAUCAGUCUAUUUUUAGAUGCAGGAUCUUACUAUACAUGCCCUUGCUGUCCUGCAACUCACCAUGUAGACCAGGCUGGCCUCACAAAAGAUGCACCUGUCUCUGCCUUCCUAGAAUUAUGAUUAAAGGCGUGACCAACCAUGUCUGGUCAGAAUAUUCUUUUAUUUAUUUAUUUAUUUAUUUAUUUAUUUUGGUUUUUUGAGACAGGGUUUCUCUAUAUAGCUCUGGCUGUCCUGGAACUCACUCUGUAGACCAGGCUGGCCUCGAACUCAGAAAUCCGCCUGCCUCUGCCUCCCAAGUGCUGGGAUUAAAGGCAUGCGCCACCACUGCCCGGCCUAUUCUUUGAUUUAUAAUGCUUGUGUUUUCCACAGAACUUUAUUUUGCAUGUUUUUUAGGAUUUAACUAUAUCAUUAUCUUCAAAAUUAAAGCAGUAUUAUUCCCCUCUAUUCACUUAAAAUUUUUUUUCAUAAUAUAUUUUGGUCAUGGUUUCUCAACUCCUCCCAGAUCCUCCUAUCCAAACAACUUCCUGUAUGUUCUCUCUCUC
rnacentral:lncRNA from 1 species